UCCACUGCGAGAAAGCAUUGCAUUUACAGAGAGGUUUCUCAAGAUGGGAAUAGUGAAACAAACAUUUCCAAUGUCCUGCAGAACCCUCUGUCAGCCUCCCUGGGCAGGAAUUUCAGCCAUUCUGCAAUGAGAGCCCCUGAAAGGACCCUGCUGCCCUGUGGGACUGCCCAGCUCCCAGCCCUGCUGCUGGGGAAGAGCUCACCACAGGACACCUCCUGUAUCUGCUGUGGUUUGGAACUGUGUGCCAUCAAUGUGGGAUGGCUGGAGCAGGUGCUGCCCUUGGCCAGGCUGCUGGGAGCCCAGGAGGAGAGCCCUGAGCCAGUUCCCACCCUGUCCCACAGCCAGCAGUAAAUGCCACCAUGAUUGCAAUGAGCCUGGUGAGGUGUGAAAUGAAGAUUAAUCCUUCCCCAGGCCAAGAACUGCCCCUGCCUGAGACACCUGGAGCUCCACACUGCAUUUCCAGGUGUGCUGUGACUUACCUGGUGCUGCUGUGGGAUGUUCAUUGGAAUAUUCAUUGGGAUAUUCAGUGCUGCUUUUUGGACAAACUUCCUGAUACAGUGUUUAUUAGAACCACUAUUUGUGAGAAGAAACCUGGCUGUGCUCAUUUCUUGCUGAGGUUUCUCUUCCUGCCCUUGUCUCCAGCUCCAACCCCUCUCUGCAGAGACCUGCCUGACUCACUGCACGGCUGGGAAACAGCCCCAGGGAUGGCUCAGCUCAGGAGUGAUCACAGACAGACACUUGGCACUUCCACCCAAUUCCACUCUGCUGCAAAGGGAACAGGGGAAAACCUCAGCUUGUGGCCUCUGACAGAGAGCUGACAGCCUGUCGUGCAGCACGAGCCACUGGGUGCUGCCUCAGCUCUGCCAUCUGCCGUGGUUGCCCUCUUCCCUGCCUACUCCCCGUGCAAGAUUUGGGUGUUUUCUCCACCCUGCUGAGCUUUCAGCACAGCCCAUGCCCUCGUGCCAUGCUGGGGCAGCAUCAGGAGGCUGCUGGGGAGCCCUGACCUGGACCAGGUGGGUGGAACCUCCCACAGCUUACCCACCCACUCCUCACUCAGAAAUCUCUCUUGUUGUGAUAAAGAAACCAAACAAAGUGAGAUUUAAGCAAAGUGUCAUCAGUCUCAUGUGCUGGUGAGAAUAAAAAUCCCUCUUCUCCCUGGCUGCGGGAAUUGGACUCAAAAAUUCAAGCAGACUUUCAGCCUGUUGUUGUGUGUAAUGUAAUUUACUCCUCCUUCAUAAUGAAAAAUGUUUGGAUAAAAGUGAAAAAAACCCAUUUUGACCCGUUUUGGUGGUUGGUUAGAUGACUUCACAAGUCCCUUCCAACCCAAACUAUUCUAUGACCCUGCAGAAGGUCGCAAGAAAACCCUGACAGAUUGAACAUUUUGAAGGAUGCCUUUCCUACUCCGGUUUAACACUCCAGCAAAGAGGAGAACAGCAUGACUGGAGCUGAGGAGCAGAGAGUGACUAACGAGCAGGAAUCAGCAGCAGGGCAGCAGCCUGUGCUGCACCUGCCCAGGCAGCCCCAGGGCACGGCAUGGGGAGCACCAUAUGCACUGCAGGGCUGAGAGCAGCAGCUCACACUGCCCUGCAGAUGGGGAAACAGCCCUGCCCUUGAGCAAGGUCAGAGAGAGGGAUUUUGGAAGAUGGGCAGCUCCAGAGUGCAGGAUUUUAUUCAAAGCACAGUGGGUUUGUGGGCACUGAGGGUGUGCUCAGGGAUAUGAUGUGCGGGAAGGGCUCUGGCACAGCCAUGGGAAAUUCUUUAGAGCAGAAAUGAGGACUGAUAGGGUUACAGGAAAUUUACAGUAAAAAUAACUCAGCAAAUUUGGCACUUGGGAUGCAGAUUGUGGAUAGCUCCUGUUCUCCUCUGUGCACUAUAUCCAAGUUUUAGGUAGUGUUUGAAGGAAUUAUUUCCAGCAGGGAUGCAGUUAAAUGACAACACAAAAUAGCCUCUGUUAAUGCUGUUACCAUGUGUACAAGCUAUGUAAUGCUACUUUUUUUUCUAGUAAAUGUAUUUUCCUCCUAGUUUUGAGUUUCCCUGAUUGGCUGGGUCUGUUCCACUUGGGAUAAAACAGAAGAAGAUGCAGUGUGUGGUGGAUUUAACAACCUGUGGGAUGCAGGGGUGAGGUCCCUUCUCCAAGGGAGGACAUUAUUGUAUUUUCUGUGUUUUGUUUUCCUUUCUUUUUGUUUCAAGUGAAUAUGUCUGGAGGAUGAAGGAUGGGUCACUUCCCUGACUUGCUUUUCUUCCUAAGUCACUGAAAGAAUUCAAGGGGAUUAGGGAGAAUUCAGAGAGCCAUGGACAGAAAAUCCCCUGUUCAGGAUGGCCUUUCCCAGGAUUUCAGUCUGCUUCCUCUUCCAGGUCUCUUCCUUUCAUAGGAGCUUAAAAGGAGGGUUUUGAAUGAC